UUGACAGCCCUGGAGACUGAUGUCUUCCAUGUAUCCGCAGAACAGGUACUGAAUCAGUAGAGGCCACAUAAUUUUCCCCACUCCCCCGCACCACUGUGCUUUAUCUUUAUUGUAGAGAAAACAUUACUAGGCCUAAGAAAAGAGUUCAGUCUCCAUAGCCUAUUCAGUCCUUGACCUCU
ensembl:misc_RNA